GCCGCCGCGAUACAUGCGCAUCUGUUUUUUUCCCCUUUUGCACUUCGCUCACAUGGAAGAAAACAGAAGGAUUUUUAGCAGCGUGUCAGUUACCCGAAGAGAUCAGAAACAUCUGGCUUGCUUAUUCAUGACCUGUCAGAAAAACAUAUUGUUGGAGCUGAGAUUGUUUGGUAGAUGCAAGCUUGGAAACAAGGAGUUUCUCUGUUCAUGAACUCAAGAAAUUGUGAGUAAUUAAGAAGAUGAAGAAUGUAUGUGGUGUACUUUGGAGAUCUAUCUACAGAUAAUAUACUUCUUAAACUGAAGAUACCAAUCUGCAUUUCUCAGAUGAGGAAACCGAGACCUGGAGAAGUGAAGUGUUUUGCCCCUAAAUUCCACAGAUAGCACAUAGAGCUGAGAAA